rnacentral:rRNA from 1 species
UACGAAGGGUGCAAGCGUUGUUCGGAAUUAUUGGGCGUAAAGGGUUCGUAGGUGGAUUUAUAAGUCAUAUCUGAAAUACCAGGGCUUAACCUUGGAACGCGAUGUGAAACUGUAGGUCUUGAGUGUAGGAGAGGGUGCUGGAAUUGCUGGUGUAGGAGUGACAUCCGUAGAGAUCAGCAGGAACGCCAGAGGCGAAAGCGGGCACCUGGCCUAUAACUGACACUGAGGAACGAAAGCGUGGGGAGCAAACAGG